UAAUACACUCAACAAUAAUUCUACUACUUUGGAUUGAGAAACACUUGUUCACAUCAAAUGUAAUAAUAUUCUUUUAGUAAAACACAAACCAAAUUAAAUAUACUUAGCUUCCCCUUUUUCCUUUUUCCCCUUUUUCUUUUUCUUUCAUGCAUAUCAAAACCUCAUUGAAGAUUCAUUCAUUCAUUGAUUGUAUUUUAAGCAAUCUGGCCUAAUAAUUCAUAUUUAUAAGAACCUUUUACCUUUGCAAUUCUGUUUUGUGUAAUCGGAACAGAAUUGUGUAUAAUAAAUAAGCAUUUACAUUAGGUAUGUGAUCCAUGUCCAUGAAUAACUUUCUUUGUUAUGGGGUGGUUGGACUCACUGUUGGGAAAUGGAAGAAAGUUUAUCAAAAGAAAAGACAGUGAUGCUGGUGAACCAGGUUUUUUUUUCUGAUUUUCUUAUCAUAUUCAUGUAUUAUUCAUUUUCUGUUGUUGGCUUUUGAUAUUUGAUGUGUUAAAUUCUUGAUAUAUCAAAAAAUUGAUGAGAUUCUGUUUUAAAAUGUGCCUGAAUAUUAGCAAUUUUAAAGGGAUGAUUAGUUUUAGAAGUUUGUUGAGUCAUUUUUUUUACACAAGUUUGUUGAGUCUUUUGAAUGUUAGUUUUUCUGUUUUUUCCAAAUUUUAGAUCAUGUUUGUUAUGCUAAGAAUAAGGGACACAUUUAAAUAUGUAUUCAGAUUAAAUUAUAAGUUACACUCUGAAUAGGAAUAAGCAAUAAAAGAUUAAUAUUCACUUCCAUAUAAUAUUUCAUAUUUGGCUCUGUCUACACCAAUUUUCACAGUCUAAAAUCAUAAGUGUGUAACAUUACAUUUUUUUAUCCUCCUUUCAUUAGUUUAUUACUUUUUGUUCUAUCAUAAUUGAAUCACAUAAUGAUACUGAUCAUAGACAAGGAUAUUUUAAGACUAAUGCUUGGUUAACAUGAUCAAGUAAAGCACUGGAAGAACUAUGCUCUCUAUCUGGCUGAAAAUGAGGAACUGACUCAAACUUGUCGCUUGCCACAGUUACAUAAUGUAUUAGUACCAUAUAUGGAUUUUGGAGAUAUUGAUAUCCCUUAAACGGUGUUGUCUGCAAGUUGUCAGAGCCUUGUGUGGGUUUAAAGAUUUCAUGUAGCCAAGCAGUUGAUCUUUAAAAGUAUUGCACACAGUCUGCUAUAGGCUAUAGCGUCCU
rnacentral:lncRNA from 1 species